rnacentral:rRNA from 1 species
CAAAAACAUAACUAUAUGUGCUCAUAUAUAGCAAUUUCUGCUCAAUGAGAAAUUUAAAUAGCCGCAGUACUUUGACUGUGCAAAGGUAGCAUAAUCAAUUGACUUAUAAUUAAAGUCUGGAAUGAAUGAAUAUAUGGGGGAAAACUGUUUCCUAUAGACGUAUGGAAUUUAUUUUAAAAGUGCAAAUACUUUUACAUAUAUAUAAGACGAGAAGACCCUAGAAAUUUUUGUAAAGUAAAAUUUCUUUAGUAUAUUUUGUUGGGGCGACAAAGUAACAUAUAACUUACUGUUAUUUACUUGCAUAUUGUUUUAUGGAAGAUAAAAUUACUCUAGGGAUAACAGCAUAAUAUUUUAAAGUUUGUGACCUCGAUGUUGGAUUAGGAAAGAUAGGUGUUUAGAAGAUUCUUAUCUAUGCCCUGUUCGAGCAAAUUUC